rnacentral:lncRNA from 1 species
GUGCCUGUCCUCUGCUUGACAUUGGAUGGAGAGGGAAGGAAGACACGGUAAUGUCUCUUAUUCUUACCUUGUUUUAGAACAAAAGAAAGAAAAGUCCCGGCUCAGUGGUUCCAGGCAUCCGUGGUACACUGCCUGUCAGGUCUGGACUGCUUAGCCUGGUGAGUGAGUUCAUGAUGUUUGACGUGCUAUGAAGCUGCAGGGGAAACCUGCUUGAAGUAUCUCAGUGUUCUACAACUGGGCCAUGUGCUUAUAUAGAAGAUGGUGUGCGCAGGAGGUGAUGUGCAUUGGCCCCAUGGCGCUACCUCUUGCAGCUGUCAGAAUUACUGCAGGCUAGUCAGUGGUGACAUGACUCUUUAAAAAGUCACAGUAUUAUUUCUUAGUUCAGAAAAUAGGGCCUUGGAAAAAUAUUUACUCUGGAUGCAUUUCUCACUCCCCACAACCCCCCCCCCCUAUUUACAAACCACAGAAAGGAGAGCUACCUCUGACUCAGAAAUUGGAGCUACCAUUAAAAUGCAAGUUUUAAUUUCAGAAACGUGAGGAUUUCCAUGGUUGGUGUUGCAAGGUGAGUGUGUGUGUGUGUGUGUGUGUGUGUGUGUUAGGAUUUCUAUUGCUGUGAUAAAACAUAACCAAAAUCAACUUGGGAAGGAAUAGAAUUAUUUCAGCUUACAGUUCUGCCUCACAUUCUAUCAUCAAAGAAGUCAGGGCAGGAACUUAGGUAGGGAAGAAACCUGGACACAGGAACUGAAGCAGAAGCCAUAGAUGUGUGCUGCUUGCUGACUUGCUCAUAAUGGCUUGGUCAGCUGCCUUCUUAUAGAACCCAAGACCCCCAGCCAUGGCUUGGCACAGCCUACAGUGAGCUGGGCUCUCUUGAAUCAAUCACUAAUCAAGAAAAUGCCCUACAGGUUUGCCUACAAUCCAUCCAGUGGAGGCAGUUUCUUGAUUAAGAUUCUUUCUUCCCAGAUGAUCCUCAUUUGUGUCAAGCUGACAUAAAAACUAUCCAGUACUCUGUGUGUGUGUAGAGAAACAGAGUAUUAAUGACAGUUUAUUAUUAGAUUUUCCCACUAAUAACCCCCAAACUUUAUUGGAUUAACAGAACAAUUACUCAUUCAGCUCACAAACUUCUGAGUUGACAUUGUGCACUGGACUCAGAUGGGUGGCUUUGCAUUGUCAAUGGUUCACUCUGCGUCAGAUGGAUGUGGCUUGGGGUUAGCUGGUUCAGAUUGGCCUCUGCUGCGAUGGCCGCCCUCCAAGCUCCAGUUUGGCCCAGGCUCAUUUACAUGUCGGCCUAGCACAGUUCAGAGAAGAAUUGCAGUGUGUAAGGCGUGAGUGUGCAAGAACAAGGCUACGGCGUUCCAUGGCUCAAGUAAAUUCCUGUUAGUCUAAUCCAAAAGGAUGGAAAAUUAGGCUCCACCCUCCAAUAAGAAGAACUUCAAAGUCACCAUUAAAGGGGUGUAGCUACAAGGCAAAAUAGAACAUAUUUGAUAAGAAAUGCCCAGAGAUUGGCAUCAUCCCACCAUCUCACUUCUAUCUAUGGGUACCAUCUCACUUCUAUCUAUGGGUCUGCUUUGCUUUUCCUUUUCAUAUCAUUAAUAUCUUUCAUUCUCUAUAUUUGGUAUACUCAAUACUAUACGACUUAGGGGCAUUGUCAUGCAAGCAUAUAUUAAACAUUGAGCCCAUGACAGCCUAGCUUCCCUUGCUCCCUUUCACAGCCCCAUCUUCAUUGUUAGUCAGACCCUUUUGCUUCUAUAGGCAGUUUUGUGUCUACUUUCGUGUUACAUGAACGUACAUCAUAUCAUUUUCUUC